GAUGAACGCUGGCGGCGUGCCUAAUACAUGCAAGUCGAACGCACAGCGAAAGGUGCUUGCACCUUUCAAGUGAGUGGCGAACGGGUGAGUAACACGUGGACAACCUGCCUCAAGGCUGGGGAUAACAUUUGGAAACAGAUGCUAAUACCGAAUAAAACUUAGUGUCGCAUGACACAAAGUUAAAAGGCGCUUCGGCGUCACCUAGAGAUGGAUCCGCGGUGCAUUAGUUAGUUGGUGGGGUAAAGGCCUACCAAGACAAUGAUGCAUAGCCGAGUUGAGAGACUGAUCGGCCACAUUGGGACUGAGACACGGCCCAAACUCCUACGGGAGGUUGCAGUAGGGAAUCUUCCACAAUGGGCGAAAGCCUGAUGGAGCAACGCCGCGUGUGUGAUGAAGGCUUUCGGGUCGUAAAGCACUGUUGUAUGGGAAGAACAGCUAGAAUAGGAAAUGAUUUUAGUUUGACGGUACCAUACCAGAAAGGGACGGCUAAAUACGUGCCAGCAGCCGCGGUAAUACGUAUGUCCCGAGCGUUAUCCGGAUUUAUUGGGCGUAAAGCGAGCGCAGACGGUUUAUUAAGUCUGAUGUGAAAGCCCGGAGCUCAACUCCGGAAUGGCAUUGGAAACUGGUUAACUUGAGUGCAGUAGAGGUAAGUGGAACUCCAUGUGUAGCGGUGGAAUGCGUAGAUAUAUGGAAGAACACCAGUGGCGAAGGCGGCUUACUGGACUGCAACUGACGUUGAGGCUCGAAAGUGUGGGUAGCAAACAGGAUUAGAUACCCUGGUAGUCCACACCGUAAACGAUGAACACUAGGUGUUAGGAGGUUUCCGCCUCUUAGUGCCGAAGCUAACGCAUUAAGUGUUCCGCCUGGGGAGUACGACCGCAAGGUUGAAACUCAAAGGAAUUGACGGGGACCCGCACAAGCGGUGGAGCAUGUGGUUUAAUUCGAAGCAACGCGAAGAACCUUACCAGGUCUUGACAUCCUUUGAAGCUUUUAGAGAUAGAAGUGUUCUCUUCGGAGACAAAGUGACAGGUGGUGCAUGGUCGUCGUCAGCUCGUGUCGUGAGAUGUUGGGUUAAGUCCCGCAACGAGCGCAACCCUUAUUGUUAGUUGCCAGCAUUCAGAUGGGCACUCUAGCGAGACUGCCGGUGACAAACCGGAGGAAGGCGGGGACGACGUCAGAUCAUCAUGCCCCUUAUGACCUGGGCUACACACGUGCUACAAUGGCGUAUACAACGAGUUGCCAGCCCGCGAGGGUGAGCUAAUCUCUUAAAGUACGUCUCAGUUCGGAUUGUAGUCUGCAACUCGACUACAUGAAGUCGGAAUCGCUAGUAAUCGCGGAUCAGCACGCCGCGGUGAAUACGUUCCCGGGUCUUGUACACACCGCCCGUCACACCAUGGGAGUUUGUAAUGCCCAAAGCCGGUGGCCUAACCUUUUAGGAAGGAGCCGUCUAAGGCAGGACAGAUGACUGGGGUG
rnacentral:rRNA from 1 species